AAUAAAUGCAGAUUUACACUAUUUAUAUCUAACGUUUGACCGUUUGCCUUAUUUGAAAAUUUUUUAUGAUUAGUAUUUUUGUUGUUAUUAGAUGAUAAAACAUGAAUAGUACUUUAUGGGUGACUAUAUUUUUUAGUUUUUUUAUAAUUUUUUUAAAUAAGACGAACGGUCAAACGUUGGAUAUAAAUCCCCACGACUACACUUAUU
rfam:Oryza meridionalis cultivar OR44 (W2112) chromosome 3, whole genome shotgun sequence.